rnacentral:rRNA from 1 species
GAUGAACGCUGGCGGCGUGCCUAAUACAUGCAAGUCGAACGAAACUUCUUUAUCACCGAGUGCUUGCACUCACCGAUAAAGAGUUGAGUGGCGAACGGGUGAGUAACACGUGGGCAACCUGCCCAAAAGAGGGGGAUAACACUUGGAAACAGGCGCUAAUACCGCAUAACCAUAGUUACCGCAUGGUAACUAUGUAAAAGGUGGCUAUACUACCGCUUUUGGAUGGGCCCGCGGCGCAUUAGCUAGUUGGUAGGGUAAAGGCUUACCAAGGCAAUGAUGCGUAGCCGAAUUGAGAGGUUGAUCGGCCACAUUGGGACUGAGACACGGCCCAAACUCCUACGGGAGGCAGCAGUAGGGAAUCUUCCACAAUGGGCGAAAGCCUGAUGGAGCAACGCCGCGUGGGUGAAGAAGGUCUUCGGAUCGUAAAACCCUGUUGUUAGAGAAGAAAGUGCGUGAGAGUAACUGUUCACGUUUCGACGGUAUCUAACCAGAAAGCCACGGCUAACUACGUG